AACGAACGCUGGCGGCAUGCCUAACACAUGCAAGUCGAACGAGACCUUCGGGUCUAGUGGCGCACGGGUGCGUAACGCGUGGGAAUCUGCCCUUGGGUGCGGAAUAACAGUUAGAAAUGACUGCUAAUACCGCAUAAUGACUCCGGUCCAAAGAUUUAUCGCCCAGGGAUGAGCCCGCGUAGGAUUAGCUAGUUGGUAGGGUAAAAGCCUACCAAGGCAACGAUCCGUAGCUGGUCUGAGAGGAUGAUCAGCCACACUGGGACUGAGACACGGCCCAGACUCCUACGGGAGGCAGCAGUGGGUAAUAUUGGACAAUGGGCGAAAGCCUGAUCCAUCAAUGCCGCGUGAGUGAUGAAGGCCUUAGGGUUGUAAAGCUCUUUUACCCGGGAUGAUAAUGACAGUACCGAGAGAAUAAGCCCCGGCUAACUCCGUGCCAGCCGCCGCCGUAAAAC
rnacentral:rRNA from 1 species